AUUUUUCUUCUUUAAACUAUUCGUUUCUAGUUUCUACUCAAUUUCACCAGAUCUUAAUUACCUCGAUUUUUCAUUUUCCGUUCCCGAAAGGAAAACAUCAAACCCUAAAAAGACCAAAAGGGAUGUUCAGGUUCGAAUUUGAAAAGAUCAGGAAACGAAUUUGAUUUCAUCGAAGGAAAAACUUUUUGUUUUUUUAUUAAUUUCUGUUAUGGCCGACGCGUUCUCCGUGAUUCCUGCCUCCGUCCUUCGUAAUCUCUCCGACAAGCUGUACGAGAAGCGCAAGAAUGCGGCCCUAGAGAUUGAAGGAAUUGUGAAACAGCUGGCUUCAUCGGGAGAUCACGAGAAGAUAUCGGCGGUGAUCAAGUUAUUAGCUACUGAAUUUACCGGCUCACCACAAGCCAAUCACCGUAAGGGAGGAUUGAUAGGUUUAGCUGCCGCCACUGUUGGGUUGAGUUCCGAAGCUGCCCAACAUCUUGAGCAAAUUGUGCCACCAGUGCUUAGUUCUUUUUCUGACCAAGAUAGCAGAGUUCGUUAUUAUGCUUGUGAAGCUCUAUAUAACAUUGCAAAGGUUGUCCGAGGAGAUUUUAUUAUAUUCUUUAAUAAGAUAUUUGAUGCUUUAUGCAAGCUUUCUGCUGAUUCAGAUGCCAACGUACAGAGUGCUGCUCACCUUUUAGAUAGGCUUGUGAAGGACAUUGUUACUGAAAGUGAUCAGUUCAGUAUUGAAGAAUUUAUACCAUUGUUGAGAGAGCGCAUGAAUGUCCUAAACCCCUAUGUCCGUCAGUUUUUGGUUGGAUGGAUAACUGUACUGGAUAGUGUUCCAGACAUUGACAUGUUGGGUUUCCUCCCUGAUUUUCUUGAUGGUUUGUUUAAUAUGUUAAGUGAUUCUAGUCGUGAAAUACGGCAGCAAGCUGAUUCAGCACUUUCAGAGUUUCUCCUAGAGAUUAAGAACUCUCCAUCUGUAGAUUAUGGUCGCAUGGCUGAAAUAUUGGUGCAAAGGGCAGCUGCUCUUGAUGAAUUCACUCGAUUAACAGCCAUCACUUGGAUAAAUGAGUUCGUAAAACUUGGUGGAGACCAGCUUUUUCCCUACUAUGCUGACAUACUGGGAGCCAUUCUCCCCUGCAUAUCUGAUAAAGAAGAGAAAAUUAGAGUGGUUGCUCGUGAAACCAAUGAAGCACUUCGUUCAAUUGAGGCUAAUCCAACAGAAAACUUUGAUGUGGGUGGCAUUCUCUCGAUUGCGAGGAGGCAACUGGAUAGUGAGUGGGAAGCUACCAGAAUUGAAGCAUUGCACUGGAUAUCAACCCUUUUAAACAGACAUCGUGCUGAGGUCCUGUGUUUUCUAAACGACAUAUUUGACACCCUGUUGAAAGCUCUAUCUGACUCUUCUGAUGAGGUGGUGCUCCUGGUUCUUGACAUUCACGCUUGCAUUGCACAAGAUCCCCCACAUUUCCGCCAACUUGUUGUUUUUCUGGUGCAUAAUUUCCGGAUUGAUCAUUCUCUUCUGGAGAGGCGUGGUGCUUUAAUAAUCCGUAGACUUUGUGUUCUCCUGGAUGCUGAAAGGGUUUAUCGUGAGCUAUCCACCAUACUAGAGGGAGAAGCAGACCUAGAUUUUGCCUGCGUUAUGGUUCAGGCUUUGAAUUUAAUUCUACUCACUUCUUCUGAGCUAUCUGAGCUUCGGGAACUUUUGAAACAGUCACUUGUUAAUGCUGCUGGAAAAGAUUUAUUUGUUUCUUUGUAUGCAUCAUGGUGCCAUUCACCCAUGGCAAUCAUUAGUCUCUGUUUAUUAGCUCAGACGUACCAACAUGCAUGUGCUGUGAUUCAGUCCCUGGUUGAGGAAGAUAUUAAUGCCAAAUUCUUGGUCCAGCUUGAUAAGUUGAUUCGCUUGCUCGAAACUCCAGUCUUCGCUUAUCUAAGAUUGCAGCUUCUUGAACCCAGACAAUACAUAUGGUUGCUUAAAGCAUUAUAUGGUCUUUUGAUGCUGCUUCCACAGCAAAGUUCUGCAUUCAAGGUUUUGCGAAGACGUUUAAAAACUGUGCCAUCAUACUCUUUCGAUGGUGGUAAUCUCAAACGAGCAGCUUCAGGCAACCCUUACUCUCAAAUUUUACAUCAUAGUGGAUCACAAAUUACCGAGGAUGGUGAUAUAGACCAAGAUAAUGGGAAUUUACAGAAUGGAAUUAACUUUGCUUCAUUGCAACAGUUUAAGCAAAUGCAGCAACAACACCAUAUGCUUGCAAAAUCACGAGCACAAUCACGAAACAGUUCCACUUCAUUUUUGAAGGUGAGGGCCCAAAGUAGAACCCUUACAACCUUCAACAUUAGGCACAAACAAGCCUCCAUUAUCAUCUAGGGAGGGCCGGGGCAAUUGUAGAUUUAAUUGCUGUCGUUACUGCCAAUUGAUAAUUCAACUUCAAUCAUACUACAAUCCUCGGCGGGAUGAAAGCUAGCAAGAGCUAGUAAAAUUUGAAGUUAGCGGAAUGUAAAGAUAGAGGGAUUCCAAGAGCAAGAUGGAAGCUAACAAGAUACAAGCUAUCGGAAGUUAGGGCGAUCCAAUAGCUCAUUCUCAAUAGAGAUGACUACCAAGUCAACCAUUUAAAGAAAAAAAAAAAGAUUACUACCAAGCUGAAAAGUGUUUUCGAGAUUUUUACUGCUAAUAGCAUGUCUAUUAUAAUCCUAGAAGACCUUUCAUAUUGUCGUAAAAUUUGCAAGACAUGCCCAUUAAAUCAUUAUACCAAAUUUAUUUGUAUAUAUACUUUUAAAUA